UACGGAGGGUGCAAGCGUUAUCCGGAUUCACUGGGUUUAAAGGGCGCGUAGGCGGCCAGCACAAGUCAGUUGUGAAAUCUCCGAGCUUAACUCGGAAAGGUCAACUGAUACUGUGCGGCUAGAGUGCAGAAGGGGCAACUGGAAUUCUUGGUGUAGCGGUGAAAUGCGUAGAUAUCAAGAGGAACACCUGCGGCGAAGGCGGGUUGCUGGGCUGACACUGACGCUGAGGCGCGAAAGCUAGGGGAGCGAACGGG
rnacentral:rRNA from 1 species